AGAGUUUGAUCCUGGCUCAGAAUGAACGCUGGCGGCGUGCUUAACACAUGCAAGUCGCACGAGAACGCUUCAGCUUGCUGAGGCUAGUAAAGUGGCGCACGGGUGAGUAACGCGUGGGUAAUCUGCCUCUGAAUUGGGGAUAACACUGCGAAAGCGGUGCUAAUACCGAAUAACAUUCCUUGGACCCCGGUUUAAGGAAUCAAAGGUGGCCUCUACAUGUAAGCUACCGUUUGGAGAUGAGCCCGCGUACCAUUAGCUUGUUGGUAGGGUAACGGCCUACCAAGGCUACGAUGGUUAGCUGGUCUGAGAGGAUGAUCAGCCACACUGGAACUGACACACGGUCCAGACUCCUACGGGAGACAGCAGUGAGGAAUUUUGCGCAAUGGGGGAAACCCUGACGCAGCAACGCCACGUGAGUGAUGAAGGCUUUCGGGUCGUAAAGCUCUGUCAAGUGGGAAGAACCUGCCCCGUGAUAAUACCAUGGGGUACCGACGGUACCACUGAAGGAAGCACCGGCUAACUCCGUGCCAGCAGCCGCGGUAAUACGGGGGGUGCUAGCGUUAUUCGGAAUCAUUGGGCGUAAAGGGCGCGUAGGCGGUCUUUAAAGUCAGAUGUGAAAGCCCUCGGCUUAACCGAGGAAGUGCAUUUGAUACUAAAAGACUUGAGUAUGGGAGAGGGAAGCGGAAUUCCUAGUGUAGCGGUGAAAUGCGUAGAUAUCAGGAGGAACACCAGUGGCGAAGACGGCUUCCUAGACCAAUACUGACGCUGAGGCGCGAAGGCGUGGGGAGCAAACAGGAUUAGAUACCCUGGUAGUCCACACUGUAAACGAUGAAUGCCAGGUGUAGGGGGUAUCGACCCCUUCUGUGCCGGAGUCAACACAAUGAGCAUUCCGCCUGGGGAGUACGGCCGCAAGGUUAAAACUCAAAGGAAUUGACGGGGGCCCGCACAAGCAGCGGAGCAUGUGGUUUAAUUCGAAGCAACGCGAAGAACCUUACCAGGUCUUGACAUCCAGUAAAGCCUGUGGAGACACGGGGUCCCUUCGGGGGUACUGAGACAGGUGGUGCAUGGUUGUCGUCAGCUCGUGUCGUGAGAUGUUGGGUUAAGUCCCGCAACGAGCGCAACCCUUGUUGGUAGUUGCUAACGCGUAAAGGCGAGGACUCUAUCGAGACUGCCGGGGACAACUCGGAGGAAGGUGGGGACGACGUCAAAUCAUCAUGCCCCUUAUGACCUGGGCUACACACGUGCUACAAUGGCCGCAACAGAGAGGUGCAAAAGCGCAAGCCGGAGCGGAUCUCAGAAAAGCGGUCCCAGUUCGGAUUGUGGGCUGCAACCCGCCCACAUGAAGUCGGAGUUGCUAGUAAUCGCGAAUCAGCAUGUCGCGGUGAAUACGUUCCCGGGCCUUGUACACACCGCCCGUCACGUCAUGGGAGUCGGCAACGCCUGAAGCCGGUAGCCUAACCGCAAGGGAGGCGCCGUCGAAGGUGGGGCUGGCGACUGGGACGAAGUCGUAACAAGGUAACC
rnacentral:rRNA from 1 species